UACGAAGGGGGGCUAGCGUUGCUCGGAAUCACUGGGCGUAAAGCGCACGUAGGCGGAUCUUUAAGUCAGGGGUGAAAUCCUGGAGCUCAACUCCAGAACUGCCUUUGAUACUGGGGAUCUCGAGUCCGGAAGAGGUGAGUGGAACUCCGAGUGUAGAGGUGAAAAUUCGUAGAUAUUCGCAAGAACACCAGUGGCGAAGGCGGCUCACUGGCCCGGUACUGACACUGAGGUGCGAAAGCGUGGGGAGCA
rnacentral:rRNA from 1 species